rnacentral:rRNA from 1 species
UACGGGGGGGGCAAGCGUUGUUCGGAAUUACUGGGCGUAAAGGGCUCGUAGGUGGCCAACUAAGUCAGACGUGAAAUCCCCAGGCUCAACUUGGGAACUGCGUCUGAUACUGGAUGGCUUGAAUUCGGGAGAGGGAUGCAGAAUUCCAGGUGUAGCGGUGAAAUGCGUAGAUAUCAGGAGGAACACCGGUGGUGUAGACGGCUUUCUGGACCGUAACUGACGCUGAGACACGAAAGCGUGGGUAGCAAACAGG